UGGCUCAGGACGAACGCUGGCGGCGUGCCUAAUACAUGCAAGUCGAACGCACUCUCGUUUAGAUUGAAGGAGCUUGCUCCUGAUUGAUAAACAUUUGAGUGAGUGGCGGACGGGUGAGUAACACGUGGGUAACCUGCCCUAAAGUGGGGGAUAACAUUUGGAAACAGAUGCUAAUACCGCAUAAAACCUAACACCGCAUGGUGUAGGGUUGAAAGAUGGUUUCGGCUAUCACUUUAGGAUGGACCCGCGGUGCAUUAGUUAGUUGGUGAGGUAAAGGCUCACCAAGACCGUGAUGCAUAGCCGACCUGAGAGGGUAAUCGGCCACACUGGGACUGAGACACGGCCCAGACUCCUACGGGAGGCAGCAGUAGGGAAUCUUCCACAAUGGACGAAAGUCUGAUGGAGCAACGCCGCGUGAGUGAAGAAGGUUUUCGGAUCGUAAAACUCUGUUGUUGGAGAAGAAUGUAUCUGAUAGUAACUGAUCAGUAGUGACGUAUCCACCGC
rnacentral:rRNA from 2 species